rnacentral:rRNA from 1 species
UGAGUACGAGAUGCUACGGCAUCGAAGCAGUCUAUGUCAUACUUCCAAGAAAAGCUUGCAAUGUCAUAAACAAAUAAUGCCUGUACCAUAACCGACACAGGUGGGUAGGUAGAGUAUACUAAGGGGCGCGAGAUAACUCUCUCUAAGGAACUCGGCAAAAUGACUCCGUAACUUCGGGAGAAGGAGUGCCUUAUUUUUAUAAGGUUGCAAUAACAAGAUCCAAGCAACUGUUUACCAAAAACACAGGUCUCCGCUAAGUCGUAAGACGAUGUAUGGGGGCUGACGCCUGCCCAGUGCCAGAAGGUUAAAGAAGUUGGUUAGCAUUAGCGAAGCUGAUAACUGAAGCCCUGGUGAACGGCGGCCGUAACAAUAACGGUCCUAAGGUAGCGAAAUUCCUUGUCGGGUAAGUUCCGACCCGCACGAAAGGCGUAAUGAUUUGGAUACUGUCUCGGAGAGGGGCUCGGUGAAAUAGACUUGUCUGUGAAGAUGCGGACUACCUGCACCUGGACAGAAAGACCCUAUGAAGCUUUACUGUAACUUGAGAUUGAAAUUGGACUUUAUCUGCGCAGUAUAGGUGGUAGACGUUGAAAAUAUUCUUGCGGGAAUAUUGGAGUCAUCAGUGAGAUACCACUCUUAUAAUGUUAGAUUUCUAGCUUUGUAUCAUUAUCUGGUCAAAGAACAGUUUCAGGCGGGCAGUUUGACUGGGGCGGUCGCCUCCCAAACGGUAACGGAGGCGCACAAAGGUUUCCUCUGAACGUGUAGAAAUCGUAUCUAGAGUGUAAAGGCAUAAGGAAGCUUGACUGUGAGACCUACAAGUCGAGCAGGGACGAAAGUCGGUCUUAGUGAUCUGACGGUGCUGAGUGGAAAGGCCGUCACUCAACGGAUAAAAGUUACUCUAAGGAUAACAGGCUGAUCUCCCCCAAGAGUUCACAUCGACGGGGAGGUUUGGCACCUCGAUGUCGGCUCAUCGCAUCCUGGGGCGGUAGUACGUCCCAAGGGUUGGGCUGUUCGCCCAUGAAAGCGGUACGCGAGCUGGGUUCAGAACGUCGUGAGACAGUUCGGUCCAUAUCCGGUGUAGGCGUUAGAAUAUUGAGAGGAGCCUUCUUUAGUACGAGAGGACCGAGAAGGACAUACCUCUGGUGUACCAGUUAUCGUGCCAACGGUAAACGCUGGGUAGCCAUGUAUGGAGAGGAUAACCGCUGAAAGCAUCUAAGUGGGAAGCCCACCUCAAGAUAAG